rnacentral:rRNA from 1 species
GACGAACGCUGGCGGCGUGCUUAACACAUGCAAGUCGAACGGAAAGGCCCUGCUUUUGUGGGGUGCUCGAGUGGCGAACGGGUGAGUAACACGUGAGUAACCUGCCCUUGACUUUGGGAUAACUUCAGGAAACUGGGGCUAAUACCGGAUAGGAGCUCCUGCUGCAUGGUGGGGGUUGGAAAGUUUCGGCGGUUGGGGAUGGACUCGCGGCUUAUCAGCUUGUUGGUGGGGUAGUGGCUUACCAAGGCUUUGACGGGUAGCCGGCCUGAGAGGGUGACCGGCCACAUUGGGACUGAGAUACGGACCAGACUCCGACGGGAGGCAGCAGUGGGGAAUAUUGCACAAUGGGCGGAAGCCUGAUGCAGCAACGCCGCGUGCGGGAUGAAGGCCUUCGGGUUGUAAACCGCUUUCGCCUGUGACGAAGCGUGAGUGACGGUAAUGGGUAAAGAAGCACCGGCUAACUACGUG